GUGGGGAAGAUGAAGGUAGAGGAGGCUGCGAAGAAGACUGCUGAUAAGAGCAAGGGGAUUUUGAACAAUAUCGAGCGGUGGCAGAAGGGAGUGGCGAGCAGUGAUGUGUUUGGUGUCCCGAUCGAACUAACUGUACAACGACAACACACUUUCAGGCCUAUUCCUCAAAUAUUAGUCAAAUGUGCAGAUAAUCUCAUAAUAUCAGGAUUACAUGAUGAAUACUUGUUCAAAUCGGAUGGGGAUAAAAAAGCUAU
rnacentral:misc_RNA from 1 species